rnacentral:pre_miRNA from 1 species
CAACUUGAGGCCUGAUCCAAACUCCCUUGAAAUCAAGGGGAGUCUUUCUGUUGAUUUCAAUGGGUUUUAGAUCAAGCCCUUGUCUG